rnacentral:rRNA from 1 species
AUUGAACGCUGGCGGCAUGCCUUACACAUGCAAGUCGAACGGCAGCACGGGAGCAAUCCUGGUGGCGAGUGGCGAACGGGUGAGUAAUAUAUCGGAACGUGCCCAGUCGUGGGGGAUAACGCAGCGAAAGCUGUGCUAAUACCGCAUACGAUCUAUGGAUGAAAGCGGGGGAUCGCAAGACCUCGCGCGAUUGGAGCGGCCGAUAUCAGAUUAGCUAGUUGGUGGGGUAAAGGCCCACAAAGGCGACGAUCUGUAGCUGGUCUGAGAGGACGAACAGCAACACUGGAACUGAGACACGGUCCAGACUCCUACGGGAGGCAGCAGUGGGGAAUUUUGGACAAUGGGCGCAAGCCUGAUCCAGCAAUGCCGCGUGCAGGAUGAAGGCCUUCGGGUUGCAAACUGCUUUUGUACGGAACGAAACGGCCCUUUCUAAUACAGGGGGCUAAUGACGGUACCGUAAGAAUAAGCACCGGCUAACUACGUGCCAGCCGCCGCCGUAACAC